AAUAAAAUGCCUGAAAAAGGGUUGCUUUGAUAGAGUAAAUCAUGUAUUAUAUAUACUUUUAUUA
rnacentral:tRNA from 1 species